GCCAAAGUGGCGGAACUGGUAGACGCGCACGACUCAAAAUCGUGUUCUUUCGAGAGUGAGGGUUCGAUUCCCUCCUUUGGUACAA
rnacentral:tRNA from 1 species